rnacentral:rRNA from 1 species
CAAUAGCGUAUAUUUAAGUUGUUGCAGUUAAAAAGCUCGUAGUUGGAUUUCGGUUAAGAGCGACCGGUCCGCCGUUUGGUGUGCACUGGUUGGUUUUAACUUCCUGUAGAGGACGUGCUCUGGGUUUAACGACCUGGACUCGGAGUCUACGUGGUUACUUUGAAAAAAUUAGAGUGUUCGAAGCGGGCUUACGCUUGAAUAUUUCAGCAUGGAAUAACACUAUAGGACUCCUGUCCUAUUUCGUUGGUCUCGGGACGGGAGUAAUGAUUAAGAGGAACAGUUGGGGGCAUUCGUAUUUCAUUGUCAGAGGUGAAAUUCUUGGAUUUAUGAAAGACGAACUUCUGCGAAAGCAUUUGCCAAGGAUGUUUUCAUUAA